UGAGAGGGUUCUUGUCUGAGUCUGCAUC
rnacentral:piRNA from 1 species